rnacentral:rRNA from 1 species
AACGAACGCUGGCGGCGCGCCUAAUACAUGCAAGUCGAGCGAGAAGACGUAGCAAUACGUUUGUAAAGCGGCGAACGGGUGAGGAAUACAUGGGUAACCUACCCUCGAGUGGGGAAUGACUAGCCGAAAGGUUAGCUAAUACCGCGUACGCUCCUUGGACUUCGGUUCAGGGAGGAAAGCGAUACCGUGGGUAUCGCGCUCUUGGAUGGGCUCAUGUCCUAUCAGCUUGUUGGUGAGGUAACGGCUCACCAAGGCUUCGACAGGUAGCUGGUCUGAGAGGACGAUCAGCCACACUGGCACUGCGACACGGGCCAGACUCCUACGGGAGGCAGCAGUAAGGAAUAUUGCGCAAUGGGCGAAAGCCUGACGCAGCGACGCCGC